UACGUAGGGUGCAAGCGUUAAUCGGAAUUACUGGGCGUAAAGCGUGCGCAGGCGGUUGUGCAAGACAGAUGUGAAAUCCCCGGGCUCAACCUGGGAAUUGCAUUUGUGACUGCACGGCUAGAGUGUGUCAGAGGGGGGUAGAAUUCCACGUGUAGCAGUGAAAUGCGUAGAGAUGUGGAGGAAUACCGAUGGCGAAGGCAGCCCCCUGGGAUAACACUGACGCUUAUGCACGAAAGCGUGGGGAGCAAACAGG
rnacentral:rRNA from 1 species